AUUUUUAGUGCAUGUAAACUGAAUGCAACUGUAAACUCUAAAAUGGGAGACAGACUCACAGUGAAGCCUUUAAAAUCGGAUGUACCUGCAGCCUUUGUACAAAGAUUCAUGAUAAAGGAUUGAUCACAGGAGAUCUAUAAUGAAUGCAAUAGAUAGUUGGAAGUUUCUUGCAGAAAUCCUGGCAUGACCUUUGGCUGCAUUCUGCAUGGUGGAGAGUGCAGUGUGAUCUGAAUACAUGGUUGCACUAUGCAGUAAAAGGAAUUCUGCAGUUGGAAUUACCAUUGACUGCGAAAUGUGGAGGCAAUCUGGUGAAUAUUGAAAACCCAAAGUAACUACUACUUCUCCAGCAGCAAGGGCUAUAUGAUUUCACAGUUGGUGGAGAUGUACUAAACUUAAUAUGCUUGGUGCUGCAAUCUAUUGUACCAACAGUUCCAGGAAUGUGAUCACUCAAAUUUACUUUUAUCCUAGAGGUGCUGUGGUCUAGUGGAUAAGUCAUCCGACUGCAGGUCACAAGGUACAGGUUCGAGUCCCGCCGCAGCACUAAUGUCAUUUGGCAAGAAGUUAAUCUACAUUUGCCACUCUCCACCCAGGUGUUAAAUGAGUAUGUGGUAGGAUGCAAAAGUUAAUGUGGUUGGAUGAGUGAGUGUGCAUUUGUAAAAUGGGGACUGGCCAGAAUGCUCCCCAGGGAGUGGAGAACGUGCAUACAUUGUGUGCAGGUAAGCCUGAAUCCGAUGACCGGGGUGAUAAUAUAUAUCUGUAAAGGGCUUAGACACAUCGUUGUAUUGAUGUAUCGGGUGCUAUAUAAAAGCGGAAUAUUAUUAUUAUUACACCUGUAUUAUUAUAUGUGCGAUUCUUAGCCUACCUAAGGUGGUUGUCUGCCAUCUGUCUGUUUCAUUUUCGUUCUAGCGAUAACAUUUGUUUUAAAUGUGUUGAAUUAACAUCAGACUUGGCUCAUUUAUGUAUAUUGGACUGAUCUGACCAUGAUCUGAGUAGAUUUUGGGGUCAUGUGAUCAGAGGUCACGUACUUGUAGGUUGUUGUAUACAUGAAAAUUGUUUGUUCUUGUGAUAACUUAAGAACCAUUUUACGAAUCAACUGCAACCUGGUACAUGCUUCAGAUAGUUAUCUCAUUAAAUAUAGAUUUUUUUUAGCUCAUAUCCUGAAGAAAAAAUAGUCAACAUGGAUGUGCAAUAUAUUUCAGAUCUGGUGAGAAUCCAUCUAGUUAAGUUUUGUUGUUUAUAUCUUUAGUUUUCAUUAUCACUUUCAUAUAGCAAAAUUAUAUAUCUUUUCUAAUAAUACAUGACUUGUACAUAUACAUGUAAGUCUAAAUAAAGGAAAAAGUUUAUGCCGAAAUUCAGGGUUUCACCGUUGCGAGCGGAACCAUCCCACCCCACAUUUUGGUAACUUCUCAAUGCCCAGAUCUCAUCAUUAUUUGGGAAUCAAUGAAACAAAUGCUAUUGAUUGAAUUAACAGUGCCUUUUGAGACAAAUACCAAUGAUGGUCACAAUAUAAAGCUUGACUGGUACAAAGAACUUGUGGCCGAAGUAAGAAACAAUGGUUACAGUGUGACAUACCAUGCUAUCGAGAUAGGAGCAAGGGGAAAACAGAUAGGGACAACACAAAUAGGCUAAAGUGGGUACUCAGGAAAUGUUCAGUCCCUCUUCGCUUGAAUAGUUUCUUUCAGAAUAUAAGUAGAUACGCAGUUUGUGUCAUCCCUUUGUCAUAUUAUAUGCAAGAAAAGAAUCAUGGUGGGGGGGGGAUGUGAAAUACCUUGACCUUUAAUCAGCACUUCUUUCUUCUCAAUAUUUAUUCUUUUUCUUCUUUUUCUUAUUUUGUCUUCUUCUGUGUCUUUUCUUCUUCUUCCUCGUCCUCUUCUUCUCCCCCUCUCUCUCAUUCUUCCUCACCUACCUCUCUACCCUUCUCCUUUACUUCAUCUGCUUGUUCUUUCUCUCCUCUCCUU